GAUGAACGCUGGCGGCGUGCUUAACACAUGCAAGUCGAACGGAGAGACCAGGGGUUUGUCUGUUGGACGAGUGGCGAGCGGGGGAGUAACACGUGAGGAAACUGCACCUGACUGUGGGAUAAGAGCUGGAAACAGCGGCGCAUACUGGAGAUGAGCUACUGAAGCGUAUUGUUCAGUUGUAAAAGACUGCGGUGAGGGAUGAGCUAGAGGCCUAUCAGCUUGUUGGUGAGGUAGGGGCGGACCAAGGCGUCGACGGGUAGCCGGCCUGAGAGGGUGACCGGCCACACGGGGACUGAGACACGGACCAGACUCCUACGGGAGGCAGCAGUGGGGAAUAUUGCACAAUGGGCGCACGCCUGAUGCAGCAACGCUGCGUGCGGGACGCCGGCUUUCGGGUUGUAAACAUCUUUUAGCGGGGAAGAAGAGAGAGUGACGGUACCUGCUGAAAAAGCGACGGCUAACUACGUG
rnacentral:rRNA from 1 species